UGCUGUCUCCCGGACGCUGCCUCGCACUUCACAGCGCCCUCCUGGAGCAACCUGAUAAAGCUCUUUUGGGGUUGACUUCUCUUUUUAAAUACUGGUUUUGGUGCAUGCAAGUCCAGCUGAGUGAACACAAAAAUCCAUCAGGCUGCUAUAAGGAAGCGUGGCUGUGACAGCACAACCUGCUGCACAGGCUCCUCUCAUCCCUCACGACCCCGGCUUGUGACUUGUGCUAAUGAGUGAAGUUACACUCCGACCUGACCACACCACAUGGCAGCUGCUCCUCCGCCGGCCUGCGCACGCAGCACCGCAGCCGAGCAGAGCACGCGAGGGAGGCCUGGAACACAGCGGUCACAACCAGAGGCUGUACUUCAUUUCGAACAAUCACCACUGUCACUCCAACCUACAGCAGAACAGCUCGAGGAGGUGAGUCCGGUGUGACGGGAGCAGCCCCUGCACAGACAGGGAUCUCCUGCUCCCAUGGGUGGCUGCAGGGAGCGUGUGAACGGCCGAGGAACACGGACAUCGCACCCACGUUUUAAAAAACCCAAGCAGACCCAGCCCUGAGGUACAACAGCUCCCAGGGCCAACGCGAGGCCCUGCGGGGUGCAGGUGAGGACGCAGGGAUGCAGCGGGACGGCCGAGCGCUGCAUGUGCCAGCCCCGCUGCCUCUGCCCAGCUCCCGAGGGCCGGCACACGCCACGAGGUGAGCUUGGCUUCAUUUCUCCUUUAUGGCAGCCAGCUGUGGCUUGCCUUCACCACAGCGUAACGAAACAACCCCCGGGGCACGCGCUCAGCCCCGUGUCCCGUCACCACAGACAGGUCAGCGUCCGGCUCCACCGGCACACCGAGACACUAGCCAUCGCCAGCACCGGGACACCGAAACACUGGCAAAAAUAGCAAGUUUCAAGCCACAUCGAUGAAGAAUUUCUAGCUCAGAGCUCUGUACCGUGCUGCCUGAAGCAGAGGGAACGGCAGGACGCUGCCGACCCAGCAGCUAAGCUGGACCCAGCAGCUAAGCUGGACCCAGCAGCUAAGCUGGAUCGGUCACAGAGCUUUUUUUCACAGAGCUUGAGAAUGACUUCCUGCACUAAGUGCUUUCAAGGCCUCAUAACACUGAUAUUGUAGAUCAAUAUUUUACAAAGACAAAGCUGCAUGACGGAUGUAUGUGCUAAUUAAGCCGUAUCUAACACGCAGUGCUGCUGUAAUCACACUCUGUAACCCUUUUAGCUUUUACAGCGGAGGGCUGACCUUGCUCACUUUCUCCAUAAACUAAAAUGACAAUAAAACAACAGAACAAAAGAUCCACUGUAAGUCACCAUGUGCAAAUAAAGAUAGGAUCUACCUUGUU